CCUGCACCCAAACCCAAAGGCCCCCCCGUGCUCCUGGGGGGGUUUUGUCUGGCGUGCGAACAGGAAACUGAACCCUGUCGCCUUUCUGUUGCUGCUGUGCUGCGGAAUGUGAAGCAGGGGGCAACACGC